UGAGGAAUAUUGGUCAAUGGACGCAAGUCUGAACCAGCCAAGUAGCGUGCAGGAUGACGGCCCUAUGGGUUGUAAACUGCUUUUAUAUGGGGAUAAAGCGGGGAACGUGUUCCCUUUUGCAGGUACCAUAUGAAUAAGGACCGGCUAAUUCCGUGCCAGCAGCCGCGGUAAUACGGAAGGUUCGGGCGUUAUCCGGAUUUAUUGGGUUUAAAGGGAGCGUAGGCCGUUUGGUAAGCGUGUUGUGAAAUGUAGGAGCUCAACUUCUAGAUUGCAGCGCGAACUGUCAGACUUGAGUGCGCACAACGUAGGCGGAAUUCAUGGUGUAGCGGUGAAAUGCUUAGAUAUCAUGAAGAACUCCGAUUGCGAAGGCAGCUUACGGGAGCGCAACUGACGCUGAAGCUCGAAGGUGCGGGUAUCGAACAGG
rnacentral:rRNA from 1 species